rnacentral:rRNA from 1 species
UACGUAGGGGGCGAGCGUUGUCCGGAAUUAUUGGGCGUAAAGCGCGCGCAGGCGGUUAAAUAAGUCAGGUGUGAAAGGCUACAGCUCAACUGUAGAGCUGCACCUGAAACUGUAUAACUUGAGAGCAGGAGAGGGGAGUGGAAUUCCCGGUGUAGCGGUGGAAUGCGUAGAGAUCGGGAGGAACACCAGUGGCGAAGGCGACUCUCUGGCCUGCAACUGACGCUGAGGCGCGAAAGCGUGGGGAGCAAACAGG